GAUGAACGCUGGCGGCGUGCCUAAUACAUGCAAGUCGAGCGAAUGGAUUAAGAGCUUGCUCUUAUGAAGUUAGCGGCGGACGGGUGAGUAACACGUGGGUAACCUGCCCAUCAGACUGGGAUAACUCCGGGAAACCGGGGCUAAUACCGGAUAACAUUUUGAACCGCAUGGUUCGAAAUUGAAAGGCGGCUUCGGCUGUCACUUAUGGAUGGACCCGCGUCGCAUUAGCUAGUUGGUGAGGUAACGGCUCACCAAGGCAACGAUGCGUGGCCGACCUGAGAGGGUGAUCGGCCACACUGGGACUGAGACACGGCCCAGACUCCUACGGGAGGCAGCAGUAGGGAAUCUUCCGCAAUGGACGAAAGUCUGACGGAGCAACGCCGCGUGAGUGAUGAAGGCUUUCGGGUCGUAAAACUCUGUUGUUAGGGAAGAACAAGUGCUAGUUGAAUAAGCUGGCACCUUGACGGUACCUAACCAGAAGGCCACGGCUAACUACGUGCCAGCAGCCGCGGUAA
rnacentral:rRNA from 1 species